rnacentral:rRNA from 1 species
CCUACGGGGUGCUGCAGUGGGGAAUAUUGCACAAUGGGGGAAACCCUGAUGCAGCGACGCCGCGUGAGUGAAGAAGUAUUUCGGUAUGUAAAGCUCUAUCAGCAGGGAAGAAAUAGCGACCUUUGGGUCGCCAGACGGUACCUGACUAAGAAGCCCCGGCUAACUACGUGCCAGCAACCGCGGUAGUACGGAGGGGGCAAGCGUUAUCCGGAUUUACUGGGUGUAAAGGGAGCGUAGACGGCAGCACAAGUCUGAAGUGAAAUGCCGGGGCUUAACCCCGGAACUGCUUUGGAAACUGUGCAGCUAGAGUGCAGGAGAGGUAAGUGGAAUUCCUAGGGUAGCGGUGAAAUGCGUAGAUAUUAGGAGGAACACCAGGGGCGAAGGCGGCUUACUGGACUGUAACUGACGUUGAGGCUCGAAAGCGUGGGGAGCAAACAGGAUUAGAUACCCUAGUAGUC